rnacentral:rRNA from 1 species
AUGAGAACAACCCAAUUCAUGAUGAACUGGCUCCUGGUGCCUGACAACAUCCUUAAAAGUGCAGAAAGUAUGGAUGCACCAGAAAUUAUGCAAGGAUCAGUUGCUUAUACAUCUAUCAUAGAUCGACUGAAAUUUGGAAAACCUGGCUUUUUCUAUGUUCUGGCCAAUGCUAUAUGUCUAUAUAUAUACUUAUUCAGUACAUGUCGUCCUCUAUCCCUAUGUUUUUUCCCCUCGAUGCCGUUGCGUGGACUAUGGCCUACUCUGCUUUUUGAUUUUCCCUCCCCUGCAGCUAGGUAUUAUCUUGUGUUCCUGGUUUUUGUUUAUACAGUGGCCUUUCCCAUCCAUGGCUCGCUGAAUUUAAUGUAUCUGCGCCACCCAUUGCCAUACUGA